UACAGAGGGGGCAAGCGUUGUUCGGAAUUACUGGGCGUAAAGGGCGCGUAGGCGGCUUGCUAAGUCAGACGUGAAAUCCCUCGGCUCAACCGGGGAACCGCGUCUGAUACUGGCGAGCUUGAAUUCGGGAGAGGGAUGUGGAAUUCCAGGUGUAGCGGUGAAAUGCGUAGAUAUCUGGAGGAACACCGGUGGCGAAGGCGGCAUCCUGGACCGAUAUUGACGCUGAGGCGCGAAAGCCAGGGGAGCAAACGGG
rnacentral:rRNA from 1 species